rnacentral:lncRNA from 1 species
GCGGUUGUUUUCGUGUUCGACUGUUAAGUAACAGUUUCACCAUAUUGUAACAUCCCAAAAUUUCAAAUCUUUUCAUAUGCAUUGCGUCCAUGAGCAUCAUGCCACAAUUGCACAUUUGAAUUGAAAUUUGAAUCUCGAAAGGCUUUGAAAAGAUUUUAUUUCAAUUUAAACCCUAGGGUUUACACCCAUUUGAGCUUUGGAUUUUCAAACCAAUAGGUUUAUUUAUAAAAGGGGUUUAUUGCAUAUAUGAGCUAUCCCAUAAUUUUUAAGAUUUUAUUUGGAGUUGAAAAAGUUAUUUUACUUAAAUAGUUAUAUAGCCCUCAAGGAAUUUAUAGGGCAAAUGUAUUUUUAGAUAUUUUAUUUUGAAGGAAAAUGACUCCCAAAAGUUGAAUCAUGAUAAAACAUGAUUUUACAAAUUUUCUGGAAUUUAUUUGGACCAAUUUGGAGUUCAGAAUCAAAAGAUAUCAAAGAAUUGAGAAAAGGAGAAAAAGAAAAGGCUAAAAGAAAAAAAAGAGAGAAAACCGGACCGGCCUGGCUAAAUGGGCCGAACCAGCCCAGUUCCGCGUGCCCGGACCGGACUGAGCCGGCCCCGCACC